rnacentral:rRNA from 1 species
CUCCUACGGGAGGCAGCAGUGGGGAAUCUUCCACAAUGGGCGCAAGCCUGAUGGAGCAACGCCGCGUGAGUGAAGACGGUCUUCGGAUUGUAAAGCUCUGUCCUUAGGGAAGAACCGUGGGUAUAGCAAAUGAUACCCAUCUGACGGUACCUUUGGAGGAAGCACUGGCUAACUACGUGCCAGCAGCCGCGGUAAUACGUAGAGUGCAAGCGUUGUCCGGAAUUAUUGGGCGUAAAGGGUACGCAGGCGGAUAAUCAAGUCAAGCGUGAAAGGUGUCGGCUUAACCGACAGACUGCGUUUGAAACUGGUUAUCUUGAGUGUAACAGAGGAGAGUGGAAUUCCUAGUGUAGUGGUGAAAUACGUAGAUAUUAGGAAGAACACCAGUGGCGAAGGCGACUCUCUGGGUUAACACUGACGCUGAGGUACGAGAGCUGGGGGAGCGAACGGGAUUAGAUACCCUAGUAGUC